CUUUUGAAGAUCAGCGGCGGACGGGUGAGUAACACGUGGGCAACCUGCCUGUAAGACUGGGAUAACUUCGGGAAACCGGAGCUAAUACCGGAUAAUCCUUUCCCUCACAUGAGGGAAAGCUGAAAGACGGUUUCGGCUGUCACUUACAGAUGGGCCCGCGGCGCAUUAGCUAGUUGGUGAGGUAACGGCUCACCAAGGCAACGAUGCGUAGCCGACCUGAGAGGGUGAUCGGCCACACUGGGACUGAGACACGGCCCAGACUCCUACGGGAGGCAGCAGUAGGGAAUCUUCCGCAAUGGACGAAAGUCUGACGGAGCAACGCCGCGUGAACGAUGAAGGCUUUCGGGUCGUAAAGUUCUGUUGUCAGGGAAGAACAAGUACCGGAGUAACUGCCGGUACCUUGACGGUACCUGACCAGAAAGCCACGGCUAACUACGUGCCAGCAGCCGCGGUAAUACGUAGGUGGCAAGCGUUGUCCGGAAUUAUUGGGCGUAAAGCGCGCGCAGGCGGUUCCUUAAGUCUGAUGUGAAAGCCCCCGGCUCAACCGGGGAGGGUCAUUGGAAACUGGGGAACUUGAGUGCAGAAGAGGAGAGCGGAAUUCCACGUGUAGCGGUGAAAUGCGUAGAGAUGUGGAGGAACACCAGUGGCGAAGGCGGCUCUCUGGUCUGU
rnacentral:rRNA from 2 species